GUUGCAGUCUGUCGAUUGAACGCUGGCGGGAUGCUUUACACAUGCAAGUCGAACGGCAGCACGGGCUUCGGUCUGGUGGCGAGUGGCGAACGGGUGAGUAAUGUAUCGGAACGUUGCCUAAAUAGCGGGGGGAUAACUACGCCGAAAGCGCCAGCUAAUACCGCAUACACCUUCAAGAAGCCAGGGACCGCUGGGGCUCGCACUAUUAAGAGCAGCCGAUAUCGGAUUGGCGUUGGUGGGGUAACUUGGUCACCAAGGUGACGAUCCGUAACUGGUUUUGGGGGAGGACGACCAGCCACACUGGGACUGAGACACGGCCCAGACCUACAGGAAGGAGGCAGCAGUGAAAUUUUUGGACAAUGGGGAAACCUGAUCCAGCCAUCCGCGUGUGCGAUGAAGGCCUUCGGGUUGUAAAGCACUUUUGGCAGGAAGAAGCGGCGGGGAUAAUGCCCGUUACAACUGACAGUACCCUGCAGAAUAAGCACCGGCUAACGUGCCAGCAGCCGCGGUAAUACGUAGGGUGCAAGCGUUAAUCGGAAUUACUGGGCGUAAAGCGUGCGCAGGCGUUCGGAAAAGAAAGAUGUGAAAUCCCAGAGCUUAACUUUGGAACUGCAUUUUUAACUACCGAGCUGAAUAGAGUGUGUCAGAGGGAGGUGGGUCACGUGUAGCAGUGAAAUGCGUAGAUAUGCGGAGGAACACCGAUGGCGAGGCAGCCUCCUGGGAUAACACUGACGCUCAUGCUGGCUUUGUGGGGAGCAAACGGGAUUAGAUACCCUGCGAAGUCCACGCCUAAACGAUGUCAACUAGCUGUUGGGGCCUUCGGGCCUUGGUAGCGCAACUAACGCGUGAGUUGACCGCGCGCCGCAAGGGAGUAUGCAGUCGCAAGAUUAAAACUCAAAGGAAUUGAUUCCCGCACAAGCGGUGGAUGAUGUGGUUAAUUCGAUGCAACGCGAAAAACCUUACCUACCCUUGACAUGUCUGGAAUCCCGAAGAGAUUUGGGAGUGCUCGCAAGAGAACCGGAACACAGGUGCUGCAUGGCUGUCGUCAGCUCAAUGUGUGACGGAUGUUGGGUUAAGUCCGCAACGAGCGCAACCCUUAUGUCAUUGGGUUAUGAAGACGCUCGUGGAACUGCCGAGUGACAAGCCGGAAGGUGGAUGACGUCAGAAUAUGGCCCUUAUGGUGGGGCUUCACGUCAUACAAUGGUCGGGACAGAGGGUCGCCCACCGGAGGGCAAUCCCGAAACCCGAUCAGCGUUGGAUCGCAGUCUGCAACUCGACUGCGUGAAGUCGGAAUCUAUUAAUCGCGGAUCAGCAUGUCGCGGUGAAUACGUUCCCGGGUCUUGUACACACCGCCGUCACACCAUGGGAGUGGGUUUUACCAGAAGUAAUUAGCCUAACCGUAAGGAGGGCGAUUACCGCGGUAGGAUUCGCGGCUGGGGGUGAAGUCGUAACAAGGUAG
rnacentral:rRNA from 1 species